CGGCUCUGAUAACCUGUGGAAACCAGCAGACACAGUGUGAGUAGUGAGCCCGAAAAAGAGGAAGGCCCAGAGCAGCCAUCAGCCGUCUUCAUUUCCCUGCAGUCAGCCCCUUGGUAUCACUGAUAACAAUGACAGGAGAAUCUCUCCGCCAGCACUGCCAGGUCUGUAUCAGAUGCUCUGCCUUUCACAAUAAAUUCUCCAUCCUUGGAGGCCUCUAUGUGGUAACUCGCAGGGUUCAGGUGAAGAUUGCAGCCUGCCAAGCUCCUCUGUCCAUGGGAUUCUCCAGGCAAGAAAAGUGGAGUGGGUUGCCAUUUCUUCCUCGAGGGGAUCUUCCCAACCCCAGGGUUGUGUUGUUGCUGCUGCUGCUGCUAAGUCACUUCAGUCGUGUCCGACUCUGUGAGACCCCAUAGACGGAAGCCCGCCAGGCUCCCCCGUCCCUGGGAUUCUCCAGGCAAGAACACUGGAGUGGGUUGCCAUUUCCUUCUCCAAUGCAUGAAAGUGAAAAGUGAAAGUGAAGUUGCUCAGUCGUGUCUGACUCUUAGCGACCCCAUGGACUGCAGGCUUCCAGGCUCCUCCAUCCAUGGGAUUUUCCAGGCAAGAGUACUGGAGUGGGGUGCCAUUGCCUUCUCCGAAUUUAAACAUAAUAUCUCAUUAUUUA
ensembl:lncRNA